rnacentral:rRNA from 1 species
UACAGAGGGGGAAAGCGUUGUUCGGAAUUACUGGGCGUAAAGGGCGCGUAGGCGGCCUGCUAAGUCGAACGGGAAAUCCCUGGGCUCAACCCAGGAACUGCGUCCGAUACUGGUUGGCUUGAAUCCGGGAGAGGGACGUGGAAUUCCAGGUGUAGCGGUGAAAUGCGUAGAUAUCUGGAGGAACACCGGUGGCGAAGGCGACGUCCUGGACCGGUAUUGACGCUGAGGCGCGAAAGCCAGGGGAGCAAACGGG